rnacentral:rRNA from 1 species
ACUAACAAGGAUUCCCCUAGUAACUGCGAGUGAAGCGGGAAAAGCUCAAAUUUAAAAUCUGGCGGUCUUUGGCUGUCCGAGUUGUAAUCUAGAGAAGUAAUGCCCGUGCUGGACCGUGUAUAAGUCUCCUGGGAUGGGGCGUCAUAGAGGGUGAGAAUCCCGUCUUUGACACGGACUACCAGUGCAUUGUGGUAUGCUCUCAAAGAGUCGAGUUGUUUGGGAAUGCAGCUCAAAAUGGGUGGUAAAUUCCAUCUAAAGCUAAAUAUUGGCGAGAGACCGAUAGCGAACAAGUACCGUGAGGGAAAGAUGAAAAGAACUUUGGAAAGAGAGUUAAACAGUACGUGAAAUUGCUGAAAGGGAAACGCUUGAAGUCAGUCACGUUGGCCAGGGAUCAGCCUUGCUCUUGCAUGGUGUACUUUCUGGUUGACGGGUCAGCAUCAAUUUUGACUGCUGGAAAAGGGCCUGGGGAAUGUGGCAGCUUCGGCUGUGUUAUAGCCCCUGGUUACAUACGGCAGUUGGGAUUGAGGAACUCAGCACGCCACAAGGCCGGGUUUCGACCACGUUCGUGCUUAGGAUGCUGGCAUAAUGGCUUUAAGCGACCCGUCUUGAAACACGGACCAAGGAGUCUAACAUGCCUGCGAGUAUUUGGGUGAAAAACCCGAAUGCGCAAUGAAAGUGAAAGUUGAGAUCCCUGUCGUGGGGAGCAUCGACGCCCGGACCAGAACUUUUGGGACGGAUCCGCGGUGGAGCAUGUAUGUUGGGACCCGAAAGAUGGUGAACUAUGCCUGAAUAGGGUGAAGCCAGAGGAAACUCUGGUGGAGGCUCGUAGCGAUUCUGACGUGCAAAUCGAUCGUCAAAUUUGGGUAUAGG